UCUCCGGGUCCCCAGGGGUCGCGCAAAGAUCCCGGACGAGCCCCAAAAUGAAAGACCCUCCCUCGAGUCUCAGGAUAGCGCGCCCCAGGAAACAAGAGAGACC
rnacentral:pre_miRNA from 14 species